GGAUAAAUAAUGAGUGGUUUGCUG
rnacentral:piRNA from 1 species